UACGAAGGGUGCAAGCGUUAAUCGGAAUUACUGGGCGUAAAGCGCGCGUAGGUGGUUCGUUAAGUUAGGAGUGAAAGCCCCGGGCUCAACCUGGGAAUUGCUUCUAAAACUGGCGAGCUAGAGUAUGGUAGAGGGUGGUGGAAUUUCCUGUGUAGCGGUGAAAUGCGUAGAUAUAGGAAGGAACAUCAGUGGCGAAGGCGACCACCUGGACUGAUACUGACACUGAGGUGCGAAAGCGUGGGGAGCAAACAGGAUUAGAUACCCGUGUAGUCCCU
rnacentral:rRNA from 1 species